rnacentral:rRNA from 2 species
UUAAAUUGAAGAGUUUGAUCAUGGCUCAGAUUGAACGCUGGCGGCAGGCCUAACACAUGCAAGUCGAGCGGUAGCACAGAGAGCUUGCUCUCGGGUGACGAGCGGCGGACGGGUGAGUAAUGUCUGGGAAACUGCCUGAUGGAGGGGGAUAACUACUGGAAAC